GCAGAGCAUCCUACGGGAGGCAGCAGUGGGGAAUAUUGCACAAUGGGCGCAAGCCUGAUGCAGCCAUGCCGCGUGUAUGAAGAAGGCCUUCGGGUUGUAAAGUACUUUCAGCAGUGAGGAAGGUGGGUAUGUUAAUAGCAUACUCAUUUGACGUUAGCUGCAGAAGAAGCACCGGCUAACUCCGUGCCAGCAGCCGCGGUAAUACGGAGGGUGCGAGCGUUAAUCGGAAUUACUGGGCGUAAAAGCGCAUGCAGGUGGUUUGUUAAGUCAGAUGUGAAAGCCCGGGGCUCAACCUCGGAAUUGCAUUUGAAACUGGCAAACUAGAGUACUGUAGAGGGGGUAGAAUUUCAGGUGUAGCGGUGAAAAUGCGUAGAGAUCUGAAGGAAUACCGGUGGCGAAGGCGGCCCCCUGGACAGAUACUGACACUCAGAUGCGAAAGCGUGGGGAGCAAACAGGAUUAGAUACCCUGGUAG
rnacentral:rRNA from 1 species